UAUUGGGCCUAAAGCGUUCGUAGCCGGUUGAAUAAGUCCUUGGUGAAAAGGGCACGCUUAACGUGUCCAAUGGCUAAGGAUACUGUUCGGCUAAGAGACUAGUAGAGGUGCAUGGAAUUACGGGGGUAACGGUGAAAUGUUGUGAUCCUCGUAGGACCACCGGUAGCGAAGGCGAUGCACCAGGAUAGAUCUGACGGUGAGGAACGAAAGCUGGGGGAGCGACCCGGAUUAGAUACCCGGUUAGUCCCAGCUGUAAACGAUGCAGACUAGGUGUUCGGUUUUCUACGUGAAACCCGAGUGCCGUCGCGAAGGCAUUAAGUCUGCCGCCUGGGAAGUACACUCGCAAGGGUGAAACUUAAAGGAAUUGGCGGGGGAGCACAA
rnacentral:rRNA from 1 species